UACAGAGGGGGCAAGCGUUGUUCGGAAUUACUGGGCGUAAAGGGCGCGUAGGCGGCCUUCUAAGUCGAACGUGAAAUCCCCGGGCUCAACCCGGGAACUGCGUCCGAUACUGGAAGGCUUGAAUCCGGGAGAGGGAUGCGGAAUUCCAGGUGUAGCGGUGAAAUGCGUAGAUAUCAGGAGGAAUACCAGAGGCGAAGGCGGCUACCUGGACAAUUGCUGACGCUCAGGCACGAAAGCGUGGGGAGCAAAAGGG
rnacentral:rRNA from 1 species